CGAAAACAGGCCUCGCAAAAGCGAUUGAAACCAAGAAAACAUCCGCCGUAUCUGCUGGUAUAGGGGAACUUUCUCCAAAUGGAGUCAAAAUCAUUCUAUCUGUCGACCUUCGUCGCAGCAUCGGCAAAUACCUCGCGGUUGGAGAGAAAACAAUGUGCAAUGACCUUCCCGUUCGACUCGAGGCCUCACGCCAAGCUUGUGUUUAUUAUGACAUCACAGGAAUAAUCGGACGACUGCGUCGAAGUAACAAAAUAUCUGAUGAAUGAAGAACUUGAGCUUGGAAUUUUGGUUAUUUCCGGGCAUUUCUCGGGUUGCUUUUUCACAAUCGUGCCACUCCUGAACAUUAUUCAGCUCUCCACCGUAAACCUCCUUUUCAGCGCCUUUCGUCCAUCGUUUAUCCGUUUUUCAGCCC
rnacentral:sRNA from 1 species